ACUUUGUAGUUUCUUAACAUUCAGUUUAACAACAGUCAUCUGCUAAAAAAAUCGCGCUUCAUGUAAUCUAGUUUCAUUUUGACAACAUCAUACUACUGGUUUCUUUUAAUGAAAUCUUAGUGCGGGUACAAAAGUCAAUAGCAAUGAGGGUUUUAUGGAUCAUGAUAUUUUUAGCCAUUUGCUUUAGCAGCUUCCUGAUCUGCAACAUCGAAUGCGCCGCACCAGGAAUAAAGCAGAAAGCGAAGUACAAUUCAUCAAAACCUUUUCCCAAAUCUACAACAAAAGCCCACAAACAUCCUCUAAAAAAGAACGAAACGGUUGUUGACAAUUUUAACGCUGAUAUUGUGAAGGCCCAUGAUCCUAAAAAGAAACAGAAGCAAACCAUUGAUCCGCACUGUCGGUAUUGUCAUUAAAUUAUUUAUGUGGGAGGAAAUAUGCAAUAUAGCUAGUCGGUUUUGCAACCGUACCUGUCAAAUCUGAUGUCAUCUUCUUAAAAAAGUCGAAACCGGUAUCGUUCCUCGCGCCUUAUGCAUGGUUGUUGGAUGGAAAAUUCCGGCCGCUGUGCUUGUGAAGAAACUGGAAACCUGUACGGCAAUGUAAAUACGAGCAGAACCUGUUUAUUUUAAUUUAAGAUUGUAUGAACAUGUUUCCUUAAGCGUACCGGCAGGAAACCGAAUUACUAUAAAAUAAAAUAACCGAAGUCGGAUGACAGGUUUUGGUGGUCGUCUUUUUUAAGAUGCCUUCAAUUUUUCUUGCAUGUCCAUUGUUCCAGUAAUGUCCGCAAAAUAAUGUCAUUGAUCCAACAUACGAUUUAUUGCAAUGAUAUGAGUGAAAUCUAGUAUACAAAGAACAGCGACUGCUCCAAGAGAAAUCGAGCAAAAUACACCAAAAACCUGGAAGCAAAAACACUUUAUAAAAGUAUAAAAGACAAAAUCUAAAAUCUGCCGUCAUAAAAAUCGUACUAUGGAAGCCACGAAAGCGAUCCACUGCUUCGUAUUACUGGUAUCAUGAGAGCUCUCAUUGAUAAACACCGAUGUGUUAUGUAGAAUUCGGUACUGAUACUCCGGAUCCGGGACAAUUUGCUCAAUAAAUCGCGCAGACGAGGCCAUUAACAGUAUCAUCCAUAUCAGGGAAUGCACGCAGAUCUGUGCAUGAAAACUGCAUGAUUACAUAGUGUUCACUGAAUCCUUUAGUUCGUCCAUAAUCAGAAUGCCAUGGAUCUUACGAUAAUUUUAAGCGUUGGUUCCGUUAGCGAGAAGACUUCAUAGAGAUGCUGUGCUACCAUAAUAAAAGCAACCGGAAGUACAAACGACCCGACAAUGGUUGUUACUUCAUGGAAGACUAAACUGUUUCCCCAGUUCGGCUGGAGGUCCUUCAUGUUGCGACCACCGUGCAGUCUGUCAGGAUCGCUACGAAUGUAAAUUCCUUUUCCAACUUCCACUGAUAUUAAAGCGCACCAGACAAACAUCUGUAAGAAAACACUUAAGAAGCACCGAAAGCUGUUGUUAAGUUCCCGGGGUAGUUAUGUCUUUCCGAGGUCCAGUAGUGCUACCGUUGCAAAGCUACCUACAAUGGAGGCAACGGACAGAAUUCCUAAUAAACUGCGAGCAAACUUCUCCCUUAUCCCAAGCAUGAAUCUUGUUACUGCUAAAAGCCAGUGUGUGCGUAUUCUUGUUGCAACUGUUCAAAAACGUGGUAAGUUGUAAAAUCCACUUGCAAAUUAUGACGGCUAAGCUGUCACGGAAAUACUACAAUUCUUUGAUACCGUAUUUUUUUUCAUGUAACAAGGUUUUCUGCCAACUUGCAUGAGUAACGCCGUGAGUAAACUAUUUCAAAAUAAAAAAAAAUAUUUGUUUACUUUUAAUUCCCGCACAAAAUCUAAUGUGAAAACAGCAGCAUCGCCUGGAUACUUGUACAUUAUGAACUUGUACAAAAGUUUAAGAUAGGUAACAAAAUAAUAACUGACUGACAACAUGCAGUAUCAUAUCAAUAAAGAAACCAAAAUAAUAUUAUUAAUGUUCUUCCCUCACGAAAGAGUCUGGAAUGCUUUUACGUUCUUUUUUACGUUUUAAGUUUUUACCUUGGAACGUUUUUACGUGAGGCUGAUUAGCGUGGACUUUCGUUUAAUCGUGUUCCCAAAUUUCAACGCAAUCAGGUCACCUUCUAACGACUGCUGAAAGCGGAUCCAGGUCCUAAUUUUAGUAAUGGAUUUAUGGGAUGGGUAUUUGUUUCGCUGGAAUACUGAUAUUAAUUGUGGCUUUCAAUCCGACCACUCUCGCUUUAAAAAACCAGUCCAAGGUCCUAAGAAGCGAGAUCCAAAACAAUUUUCGCUUUAGUCUACCGGCGCACUUGCGCAUUUAUGGACCGAUUAACUCCAGUGUCACUGACAGCCUUCCUGUACUGACUGGACUACCAGAUCCCCAUGUUAUGGUCAACAAAAAUCAGAGGCAUUGCGAGUUCAUUGAAUAUCUGCCCCCGCGUUCCCUAGGUAUGUUGGAAAAUGUGUGGAUUUGUAAAUGCUGGCUGAUUGAGUACAACAAAGGCGGCACCAUCGCGGCAGCCAAACUUCCAUAUGCUGUCACUGCCGAAUGGAUUAAUGGUCAGACACUAAAUACGGGACUGGUGCUGAUUGAUGCCACCGUGUGCUCGCCACGUCCGUGCUGCUCCAGGAAAACGUUGUCCAGACGUAAACGAAGUGUGUGACGAAUUCAGGAUGAUGAUGAUGAGUAUGAAUACAUCUACGAGGACACAACCGACAGCAACGGCUUACGCGCCGCACCGGUGAAGAAGAAAGUCAAGAAAGCGGUAGCAAAAGCUAAAGCAGUCGCAACCGGGGGCGGCCUUCCACUUGCAGCUAUUCUUGGGAUCGUCUUUGGAAUCGUAGGGGGGAUUUUGUUAAUCUGCGGAGGAAUUCUGGGAUACUGUUAUUAUCUUUACAAGCAAGAAAUUGCUCGGAUACGUUUCAGAAACCGAAUGAUUGACAAGCAUAACAAAAAAGUUGCUGCGCUUCGUGCUGCACAACGAGUGUAACUAUUCCGUUUCAACUGCUUCUUAAAUUUUUAUCGUGUAAAAUUGACUGUUUUGAUUAUGGAAGUGUUUUGUGUUGAAACUUCAGCUUUUGCUCUCGUUGAGAAACGUUCCUGU